rnacentral:rRNA from 1 species
AGCGAACGCUGGCGGCAGGCUUAACACAUGCAAGUCGAGCGGGCGUAGCAAUACGUCAGCGGCAGACGGGUGAGUAACGCGUGGGAACGUACCUUUUGGUUCGGAACAACACAGGGAAACUUGUGCUAAUACCGGAUAAGCCCUUACGGGGAAAGAUUUAUCGCCGAAAGAUCGGCCCGCGUCUGAUUAGCUAGUUGGUGAGGUAACGGCUCACCAAGGCGACGAUCAGUAGCUGGCUGAGAGGAUGAUCAGCCACAUUGGGACUGAGACACGGCCCGAACUCCUACGGGAGGCAGCAGUGGGGAAUAUUGGACAAUGGGCGCAAGCCUGAUCCAGCCAUGCCGCGUGAGUGAUGAAGGCCCUAGGGUUGUAAAGCUCUUUUGUGCGGGAAGAUAAUGACGGUACCGCAAGAAUAAGCCCCGGCUAACUUCGUGCCAGCCGCCGCAGUAAC